AGACGACGACGGGUAGCCGGCCUGAGAGGGCGACCGGCCACACUGGGACUGAGACACGGCCCAGAAACUACGGGAGGCAGCAGUGGGGAAUAUUGCACAAUGGGGGAAACCCUGAUGCAGCGACGCAGCGUGCGGGAUGACGGCCUUCGGGUUGUAAACCGCUUUCAGCAGGGAAGAAGCGCAAGUGACGGUACCUGCAGAAGAAGUACCGGCUAACUACGUGCCAGCAGCCGCGGUAAUACGUAGGGUACGAGCGUUGUCCGGAAUUAUUGGGCGUAAAGAGCUCGUAGGUGGUUGGUCACGUCUGCUGUGGAAACGCAACGCUUAACGUUGCGCGUGCAGUGGGUACGGGCUGACUAGAGUGCAGUAGGGGAGUCUGGAAUUCCUGGUGUAGCGGUGAAAUGCGCAGAUAUCAGGAGGAACACCGGUGGCGAAGGCGGGACUCUGGGCUGUAACUGACACUGAGGAGCGAAAGCAUGGGGAGCGAACAGGAUUAGAUACCCUGGUAGUCCAUGCCGUAAACGKUGGGCACUAGGUGUGGGGGGCAUUCCACGUUCUCCGCGCCGUAGCUAACGCAUUAAGUGCCCCGCCUGGGGGAGUACGG
rnacentral:rRNA from 1 species